rnacentral:rRNA from 1 species
UGAGUUUGAUCCUGGCUCAGGAUGAACGCUGACAGAAUGCUUAACACAUGCAAGUCGAUUCAAGUUACCUUCGGGUAAUGAGGAUGGCGGACGGGUGAGUAACGCGUAAGGAACUUGCCUCUUGGUCUGGGACAACUGUUGGAAACGACAGCUAAUACCGGAUAUUAUGAGAUUCUCGCAUGGGAAACUUAUGAAAGCUAUAUGCGCCAAGAGAGAGCCUUGCGUUCCAUUAGCUAGUUGGUGGGGUAACGGCCCACCAAGGCGACGAUGGAUAGCCGGCCUGAGAGGGUGAACGGCCACAAGGGGACUGAGACACGGCCCUUACUCCUACGGGAGGCAGCAGUGGGGAAUAUUGGACAAUGGGCCACAAGCCUGAUCCAGCAAUUCUGUGUGCACGAUGAAGGUCUUCGGAUUGUAAAGUGCUUUCAGUUGGGAAGAAGAAAGUGACGGUACCAACAGAAGAAGCGACGGCUAAAUACGUGCCAGCAGCCGCGGUAAUACGUAUGUCGCAAGCGUUAUCCGGAUUUAUUGGGCGUAAAGCGCGUCUAGGCGGAAAAAUAAGUCUGAUGUUAAAAUGCGGGGCUCAACUCCGUAUUGCGUUGGAAACUGUUUUUCUAGAGUACUGGAGAGGUGGGCGGAACUACAAGUGUAGAGGUGAAAUUCGUAGAUAUUUGUAGGAAUGCCGAUGGAGAAGUCAGCUCACUGGACAGAUACUGACGCUGAAGCGCGAAAGCGUGGGGAGCAAACAGGAUUAGAUACCCUGGUAGUCCACGCCGUAAA